rnacentral:pre_miRNA from 1 species
AUGAGAUGAAAUCAGUGUUUUGAUAUGCGAUUUCAUAUUGAUUUUAUCUCAUGA